GAUCAUUCUACGCGGAAUCGACAAUGAUCGAUGACGAAGGCGCGUGUUUCGAGAAAAGCAAACGCCAUUGAUUGACAGUACUGCCAACCCAGAAAUCACUGCACAUGAAUGAACAUACCGAUAAGGUGAUGACCUUGCUGGCUUAUUACGUUUUCGGAAAGUACGUCGCCCCGGAAUGCGGAAACGUUCGGUGGAGUUGUAGGUUAACUAGGUUAUAGCUGGGAUGUCAUACUGAAAAGUUUGAUUCGCUGCUUCAAUAGUGACGUCACAUUUAAAGGGCUAAGUAUCGGUACCUUGAAUAAAACAAAAUACAUAUUCGGAUUUAAAUUAGACCGACAUAAUUUCAAUUUACAAAUUUAGCUUGCACAAAUUUGCUGCACGUUAAAAUUAAAUUUACAUGGCAAAUAUCUGUUCUACGUGGUAACUUUGAAUAAAUAUUUAAAACAUGUAUGCGUUGUUAAACAAUAUUAUUAUUUAAUGAUAUUCCAAUUAAUUGAUCUUUGCUGGAAAACAUCAAUAUAUUAGAUACAUUCUACAGAAACAUUGUUUAUAAUUAUAAUUAUUUAUAAUUAUAGAAAUUACAAUAAUUUUUAGUCUACUGCGGUGUAUACAUUAUCCUAGCUAGAAUUAUGUGUUUGAACUUGUUGAAUUAAUUCUGUGAUCAAUAAUAAUAUUACAUAUAAAAACU